rnacentral:rRNA from 1 species
UACGUAGGGGGCUAGCGUUAUCCGGAUUUACUGGGCGUAAAGGGUGCGUAGGUGGUUUCUUAAGUCAGGAGUGAAAGGCUACGGCUCAACCGUAGUAAGCUCUUGAAACUGGGAAACUUGAGUGCAGGAGAGGAAAGUGGAAUUCCUAGUGUAGCGGUGAAAUGCGUAGAUAUUAGGAGGAACACCAGUAGCGAAGGCGGCUUUCUGGACUGUAACUGACACUGAGGCAAGAAAGCGUGGGGAGCAAACAGG